rnacentral:rRNA from 1 species
GCCUGAUGGAGGGGGAUAACUACUGGAAACGGUAGCUAAUACCGCAUAACGUCGCAAGACCAAAGUGGGGGACCUUCGGGCCUCAUGCCAUCAGAUGUGCCCAGAUGGGAUUAGCUAGUAGGUGGGGGAACGGCUCACCUAGGCGACGAUCCCUAGCUGGUCUGAGAGGAUGACCAGCCACACUGGAACUGAGACACGGUCCAGACUCCUACGGGAGGCAGCAGUGGGGAAUAUUGCACAAUGGGCGCAAGCCUGAUGCAGCCAUGCCGCGUGUGUGAAGAAGGCCUUCGGGUUGUAAAGCACUUUCAGCGGGGAGGAAGGCGUUAAGGUUAAUAACCUCAUCGAUUGACGUUACCCGCAGAAGAAGCACCGGCUAACUCCGUGCCAGCAGCCGCGGUAAUACGGAGGGUGCAAGCGUUAAUCGGAAUUACUGGGCGUAAAGCGCACGCAGGCGGUCUGUCAAGUCGGAUGUGAAAUCCCCGGGCUCAACCUGGGAACUGCAUUCGAAACUGGCAGGCUAGAGUCUU